CGGGUUCGAGCAAAGAUCUUCAGCUCUAGCGUGGCGGAGAUGGCAGUGGAAUUCCGGACUCUGGCAGCGCCAUCAGGUUGGAUAUUCGGAUUCGGGAGCGCUGCCAUGAGAGAACGGGCGUUCCCAAAUUACCUGUCCGUCGUCAAUCAACUCCUCCCUGCCACUACGCUCCGGAGGUGACCGAGACUCCCCGAGUCUCUACGAGAAGUGCCAAACCCGAAGCUAUGGAGUACAGUACCUCAAACCACACCGGAGUCCGUGGAACUCUCUGCUGUUCCUGACGUCUAUCAUGAACUGGCAUCAGUCUUCAGUAAACGCAGAGCCAUUUCUCUUCCUCCUCACCGGCCUUACGACUGAUCAUUCACCUCCAGCCUGGAGCCCCUCUUCCGAACAGUCGCCUGUACAAUCUUUCCCGUCCGGAGACGGAAGCGAUGGAGAAUUACAUUCGGGAAUCUCUGGCAGCAGACAUUAUUCGACCUUUGUCGUCACCAGUGGGUGCUGGAUUUUUCUUUGUUGGAAAGAAAGAUAAGACUCUCAGACCUAUUGAUUUUCGUGGGCUCAACAAUGUCACGAUUAAGAACAAGUAUUCACUGCCGGUAAUCAGUUCUGCUUUUCCCCCUCUACAUGGUGCUUCUAUCUUCACUAAGCUGGACCUGCGAAAAGCUUACCACCUGGUACAUAU